AUUGAACGCUGGCGGCAUGCUUUACACAUGCAAGUCGAACGGCAGCGCGGGCUUCGGCCUGGCGGCGAGUGGCGAACGGGUGAGUAAUGCAUCGGAACGUGCCCAGUAGUGGGGGAUAGCCCGGCGAAAGCCGGAUUAAUACCGCAUACGACCUGAGGGUGAAAGCGGGGGACCGAAAGGCCUCGCGCUUUUGGAGCGGCCGAUGUCGGAUUGGCUAGUUGGCGGGGUAAAGGCUUACCAAGGCGACGAUCCGUAGCUGGUCUGAGAGGACGACCAGCCACACUGGGACUGAGACACGGCCCAGACUCCUACGGGAGGCAGCAGUGGGGAAUGUUGGACAAUGGGGGCAACCCUGAUCCAGCCAUGCCGCGUGCGGGAAGAAGGCCUUCGGGUUGUAAACCGCUUUUGUUCGGGAAGAAAUCCUCUGGGCUAAUACCCCGGGGGGAUGACGGUACCGGAAGAAUAAGCACCGGCUAACUACGUG
rnacentral:rRNA from 1 species